rnacentral:rRNA from 1 species
CUCAGUUCGGACUGGAGUCUGCAACCCGACUCCACGAAGCUGGAUUCGCUAGUAAUCGCGCAUCAGCCACGGCGCGGUGAAUACGUUCCCGGGCCUUGUACACACCGCCCGUCAAGCCAUGGGAGCCGGGGGUACCUGAAGUGCGUAACCGCGAGGAUCGCCCUAGGGGUAAAACUGGUGACUGGGGCUAAGUCGUAACAAGGUAUC